rnacentral:rRNA from 1 species
UACACUCCUGCGGGAGGCAGCAGUGGGGAAUUUUACGCAAUGGGGGAAACCCUGACGUAGCGACACCGCGUGAGCGAAGAAGCCCUUUGGGGUGUAAAGCUCUGUCAGCUGGAACGAAAACAAUGACGGUACCAGCAGAGGAAGCAUCGGCUAACUACGUGCCAGCAGCCGCGGUAAGACGUAGGAUGCGAGCGUUGUCCGGAUUUAUUGGGCGUAAAGAGUUCGUAGGUGGUUUGUUAAGUUUGGUGUUAAAGAUCGGGGCUCAACCCUGGGACUGCACUGAAUACUGGCAGACUCGAGUGUGGUAGAGGCUAGUGGAAUUCCCAGUGUAGCGGUGAAAUGCGUAGAUAUUGGGAAGAACACCGGUGGCGUAGGCGACUAGCUGGGCCAUAACUGACGCUGAGGAACGAAAGCCAGGGGAGCGAAUGGGAUUAGAUACCCGUGUAGUCCCAU